CACGUAGGGCGCAAGCGUUGUCCGGAAUUAUUGGGCGUAAAGAGCUCGUAGGCGGUCUGUUACGUCUGCUGUGAAAACCCGGGGCUUAACCCUGGGCUUGCAGUGGAUACGGGCAGACUAGAGGCAGGUAGGGGAGAAUGGAAUUCCCGGUGUAGCGGUGAAAUGCGCAGAUAUCAGGAAGAACACCUAUGGCGAAGGCAGCACUCUGGGACGGUACUGACGCUGAGACGCGAAAGCGUGGGGAGCGAACAGG
rnacentral:rRNA from 1 species